UACGUAGGGUGCGAGCGUUAAUCGGAAUUACUGGGCGUAAAGCGUGCGCAGGCGGUUAUAUAAGACAGAUGUGAAAUCCCCGGGCUCAACCUGGGACCUGCAUUUGUGACUGUAUAGCUAGAGUACGGUAGAGGGGGAUGGAAGUCCGCGUGUAGCAGUGAAAUGCGUAGAUAUGCGGAGGAACACCGAUGGCGAAGGCAAUCCCCUGGAACUGUACUGACGCUCAUGAACGAAAUCGUGGGGAGCCAACAGGAUUAGAUACCCCGGUAGUCC
rnacentral:rRNA from 1 species